rnacentral:rRNA from 1 species
UACGGGGGGGGCAAGCGUUGUUCGGAAUUACUGGGCGUAAAGGGCUCGUAGGCGGCCAACUAAGUCAGACGUGAAAUCCCUCGGCUUAACCGGGGAACUGCCUCUGAUACUGGAUGGCUUGAGAUUGGGAGAGGGAUGCGGAAUUCCAGGUGUAGCGGUGAAAUGCGUAGAGUAUCUGGAGGAACACCGGUAGCGAAGGCGGCAUCCUGGACCAACACUGACGCGUGAGGCACGAAAGCGUGGGGAGCAAACAGGA